AAAAAAGGAGGCAGGUAUUCACAGGUCUCGGCUUUCUUCCUCUUCCCUCCUUCCUUUUGUUACAGAUUCCCUCACUGAAAGAGGAACUUCAGAUUCUUUUUUCCAGGACCUUUGGCACACAGACACACACCUGGACAAACCAACAUUUAAACUUCACAGCUUUCUUACUGCGACACCACGUCUGCUUUCUUUACUUCUGGUGUGACCUCCCUCCUCUUCCAUUCUCUUUACACUUAGCACUCCCUCCUAUAUAACUCCAUUGUUUCCUCCCUUCCUUUCACUCCCUUCUCUAUAAUGACCACCUCUUUCCCUCCUCCCCAACCGAGAGGCAUCGACUACAACCUGCCGACCUGUGGAGAGACUCAGUGCAAUGACCAUGGUACUUGUGUGAGUCCUCCUGGCGGCGGCAUUGGUUUGGUGUGCAACUGUGCGCUAGGCUACCGGGGCGAAUUCUGCGAGGACACAGUCAACGGGGCAUUAAGUGUACCACUAACCCUGAGUGUGCUGGCCGUCAUCAUCGGAGCGGUGAUUGUGGCUUUCGUUGUUGCCAAGAUGAGGCAGAGGCAAAAGAAAAGAAACAGGAAACAUAUGGCAGAAAAACAUGGCUACAACAUUGAUGUGUAAUGUGGAUGCAUCUCCAUUAUAUCUGAAGUUAACCAUUAAAUUGUGGCCAGUAACACUAUGGAGCUUCCAUCUUCUGCAGCACGCUUAUAGCAGUUGGUUGAAUUUUACCUUUUUUCAGUGGCUGACCUUUGACUUUUCCCUUUACAACUGAUGUUGCAGCAUCCCAAAACCUCAAAUACUGAACUGAUAAAUGGAGUUAGAUUAAGAAUGAUCCAACUUCUCUACAGUAAUUGUGUUUUUCAUGUAUCAUUUGACAAUGGAAAAAUAUAACUUAAGGUAUAUAUACCAGACACAUGAUUCACUGAGGGAAAAUGGCAUGCAUCACAGAGUUCUGAAGCUGUUCAUUUAGACAGGAUAUAGAUGACUGACGCAGAGUAUAUUUACAGGCAUGUGUGUAACUCUGGUAUUUAAUUAAGAUGGAUUCAGAUUGGAGUCAAUGAGUCUUUACCUCAUGAACACAGCAGAGACAUCUGUGCUUGAACAACAUAGUUUUAGAGAUAAUGCCUCGUUUCAAAACAGUUUUGUUUUGUGUCCGUGUUUACGUAUAGUAUGUGCAAAAUGCAUUAUUCUACAGAUGAAUAAAAGUCACUACAGAAAUUGCAAUAAAGUUGAAGAAAAUGUACAAAAAGGAGAUAUAUUACUGGAAGUCUGCCACAAAAGUUAUAUUCUUCAUCGUAUUUGAGGCAAAUUCCGUACUGAAAAAACAGACCUAAAAACAGGAGUUUCGCCGACGGUUGGAGACUAUGAUUGUUUGAAAUGAAUGGACUUCUGAUGGACUGGCAUAUGUACCCAGAACUAUGUGGAAAUGAAUAAUUGAAAUUGAAAACUGAAAAACAUCAGUUUGGGAAUGAGGUUAUGGUUGGGUUAGGUUACCAUUAUUUUCUUAUUAGUGCAAUAAAAUGAUAUAGUUUUCCUUAUUAAUGCUCUGUAUCCAUUAGCAGCUUUUUAUGUGUUCAUUCACUUUAAUAAUCUUACUGUUAUUUAUAGAAUUCUGAUGCAUUAUUGUGGCUAUCUAGUGCUAAUAACCAUUAAAGUUGUAACCACCAGUCCCACAAACAGUAGAUCAAAAAUAUUUUGGUGUUGUGGGCAUCUUUUUUGACUUCUCACGCACUGACUGAAUUUGCCAUUCUGCAAGAAAUGAACAGACUUUUAUAGACUAAAAUGAUCAUGUUGUUCACAGUUUGAAUGCACAGUGAGAAAUGUCAUGAUCUGCCUGUACUGAAAAUCUACUUCCUUCAUCAGAUUUCCCAUAUGAAAAAGCUCAUUACUGGGUACAUUUAGAAAAACAUUCACCUAUCAGUCACUCUUUUUGACAAAGAAGUAGCUUCCCUUAAAUACAGAGAGAUGACCAAUGAGUGCCAUAGUGCUGGUGAGUGAUUCAUUCUGCUGUGUUUUUGUAUAUAAUGUUGAAAGAGUGAGUUCAUGUGCCAAAAACUAUUUCCAUAGCAAUCCAUUCACAUAAACCAGGGAUUUUUACCAGAUUUGAUCUGUCACUACCUUUUGUUGAGGACUAAAGUCUUUAAUCUGUCCUCACUAAGUUACCUUCAAGUGUUAAGUGCUUUGUGUGCUGUAUUGUCUUUCUUUUGUACACUGCUGACUGAAUUAUUAUGUUUUACAUGCCUUUUCUGUAACUCUUUUGAUACCAUAAAACAUUAGCAGGACAACUUUUUUUACAGUCUUGUUUUUCUUUAUGUUUUUGUGUAGCUGUAAUACAAAUCAGUUCAUGUAGUCAGACUGCAUGUAACUACUGAGCACUGAUGAUGAUCAUGGAAGAUGUUUUGAAUGUUUAACACACUUAAGCCUCUCAAAUUUAUGAGUAUGUGGAAUAACAAUUGUGUGUCAACGUGUGUACAAUGUGUUGGGCACAUUAAGCAUGUGCAUGUUUGUAUAUAAAUGGAUUGUAAGUUG